UCAAAGCAAGGCACUGAAAAUGCUUAGAUGGAUAAACUUAUCCCAUAAACA
rnacentral:tRNA from 1 species